CAAUAUCAUAUAAUACAACGUAAUACAAUAAUUUUAUACAAUAUAAACGACGUAAAAUAUGUGACAUAAAAGAUAUUAAAAUGACAAGGAAUGUGGAAUGAAAAAUUUAGAAAAUAAUUAUUUCUUUGUCAUCGUUGAAAAACAUCUUACCUAAGGCAAUAGAAGAGUAAUUCAUAAACAAUUCAUUUUACCUACGAACUGUGAAAAUGUACGUUGCCUUACGGAAUGUUAAAGCAAGUCCCCGUGAAACGUAGAGAGAUCAAAGGUUUCUCAAACGUGUAUCGCCAAGAUAAUUUCAAAAUUACGAUAUUAUAUUACACGGUGGUAAACACACACCGUACGACUAAAUAGAAAAUCAACGCGUUGGCAAUCUCGACGGGAGAUCUUGGAAGCUUGAGGUAAAAUCGAAAAGUAGAAACAAACGAUGGAGAGAGGUGAAAAGAGAAGACGUUGGCGAGCAAUGAAAGCAGAGUGAGGAACCACGAAAGACAAGUAUGAGGAAGAGAGGCCGGGUUUUGCAGCGUAGGAGCAACGGGAAGAGGCGAACAAGGAAGCCGUGGGGAGGUCGUAAGAAGGCAUAACGAGGAAGAAAGAAUUGAACAAGAACGGUAGGUGCAUAAAUGAAAAGCAAUGCGAUGCAUCGGAGUGCGCAUAUGGCCGACGAGUUAUACAUAUCUAGAUCCGAGCGUUUAAUUGCUUACAAUGGACCACCCGUUCGAGGCAAACUGCUUACUCGCUUGAUAUGGAUCAUUUGUUAAUAAAUGUACAGUAGUCUUGGGCAUUUAAAUAUUUUAUAAUAUAAAUAAAUAAAAUUCAAUAUUUUACUUUCUGUAAUGUUUCUAGUGGAACUUGGAAUUGCAAAUAUCCUGUUAUUUAAAGUGUACUCCACUUAUUGAUUCUUUCAGAAAUACCAUUUUUAUAUCAUUUUUAUAUCAUAGCAGUUGUACAUUGAUAUGAACUGAAGAGCAAAUAUAAAUAUUGUAAAGAUAGAUAGUGAGAAAAGGAGAAAACCUGUCUUAAGUAGGUAAGCUUCAUAAAAUUGUAAAAGAAGGUAGGAGGAGAAGUAGUAGCAAGAAAAUAUUCAGCAGAUUCUUGAAAUUCUUUCCCAUAACAAGAAUGUUCAAAAAUAUAGAAUUUAAGAUAGCUGUUUUCCAUUUAUGGCAUAGUAUGUUAGGUAGCAUUACAUUCGUUAUCAUCUGUUUCUGAUUAUUGGUGCUGUAACUGUUUAAGCCUGCUACAGAUUACAGGAAAUGAACUUGCACUACUUCUAAAAUAAGUGAUUAUGCAAUGUUAUUUAUUAACGAAACCUCAAUUGAU